CGCGGGGUGGAGCAGUGGUAGCUCGUCGGCCUCAUAACCCGAAGGUCGGAGGUUCGAAUCCUCUCCCCGCUACCA
rnacentral:tRNA from 1 species